rnacentral:rRNA from 1 species
AUUUCUUCGGAAUGAAGUUUUAGUGACUGAGUGGCGGACGGGUGAGUAACGCGUGGGUAACCUGCCUCACACAGGGGGAUAACAGUUGGAAACGACUGCUAAUACCGCAUAAGCCCACGGCUCGGCAUCGAGCAGAGGGAAAAGGAGUGAUCCGCUUUGAGAUGGCCUCGCGUCCGAUUAGCUAGUUGGUGAGGUAAUGGCCUACCAAAGCGACGAUCAGUAGCCGGCCUGAGAGGGUGAACGGCCACAUUGGGACUGAGACACGGCCCAAACUCC